rnacentral:rRNA from 1 species
GAAUAUUGGACAAUGGGCGCAAGCCUGAUCCAGCCAUGCCGCGUGAGUGAAGAAGGCCUUCGGGUUGUAAAGCUCUUUCGGCGGGGACGAAACGGUCCGUGCUAACACCACGGACUAAUGACGGUACUCGCAGAAGAAGCCCCGGCUAACUCUGUGCCAGCAGCCGCGGUAAUACAGAGGGUGCAAGCGUUAAUCGGAAUUACUGGGCGUAAAGCGCGCGUAGGUGGUUCGUUAAGUUGGAUGUGAAAUCCCCGGGCUCAACCUGGGAACUGCAUUCAAAACUGUCGAGCUAGAGUAUGGUAGAGGGUGGUGGAAUUUCCUGUGUAGCGGUGAAAUGCGUAGAUAUAGGAAGGAACACCAGUGGCGAAGGCGACCACCUGGACUGAUACUGACACUGAGGUGCGAAAGCGUGGGGAGCAAACAGG